GAACGCUGGCGGCGUGCCUAACACAUGCAAGUCGUGCGAGAAAGUUCCUUCGGGAGCGAGUAAAGCGGCGCACGGGUGAGUAACACGUAGGUAACCUGCCCCCCAGUCUGGAACAACUAGAGGAAACUCUAGCUAAUGCCGGAUGAGACCACGAUCCCUUCGGGGGUUGCGGCCAAAGAUGGCCUCUACUUGUAAGCUAUCGCUGAGGGAUGGGCCUGCGGGCCAUUAGCUUGUUGGUGAGGUAACGGCUCACCAAGGCUGUGAUGGCUAGCUGGUCUGGGAGGAUGACCAGCCACACUGGGACUGAGACACGGCCCAGACUCCUACGGGAGGCAGCAGUGGGGAAUAUUGCGCAAUGGGCGAAAGCCUGACGCAGCGACGCCGCGUGGGUGAUGAAGGCCUUCGGGUCGUAAAGCCCUGUCGCAGGGGAAGAAUAAGCAUCGGUAUAAUACGCCGGUGCCCUGACGGUACCCUGCAAGAAAGCACCGGCUAACUCCGUG
rnacentral:rRNA from 1 species